rnacentral:lncRNA from 1 species
GCACGGAAAGAUGGCCCUGCCCUCAAGGAGCUGCAGUCUGCCCAGGAAGGCAGACAGAUAAACUGCUAUAGUUUUCCACUAUUGAGCUGAAUUUCGUAUCACCAUCAAAAGUUACCUACCUACAAGUCCCUAGUAGAGAAAAUUUAACUUCUGGCUUUAAAAAAGGGACAGAAAAGCAGGCAGAUCUGCUAGUAAGCAAACUACAGCUCCCCCGAGGAGACACACAGGCAGUGGGUAAGAGGAACAGACCCAUGGCUCCACUGAAGACACAGAGCAGCAGACGAAAAAGACAUGUCCUAAAUGUUAAAUGAAUGUGACAGAAUGAUACCAGGUGACUUCUAAGACUACAUCAUACAAAGCAACACAGCUUCUGCUGGGCUCUCCCUCUCUGGACACGUGUCUUUGAAGCCCUGAGCUGCCAGAUUAAACAGUCCGGCUUGCCUAAAGUCACCACGCUGGAGAGACCAUCAGGGAUGGAGAGGUGCUACAGAAACCCUAGCUAUUCUAGUCCCCAGC